CUUCAAUAUCUUGCAUGUUACAGAUUUCACUACUCCCACCAGCUUGGAGACAACAUGUGGUUCUUGACAACUCUGCUCCUUUGGGUUCCAGUUGAUGGGCAAGUGGACACCACAAAGGCAGUGAUCACUUUGCAGCCUCCAUGGGUCAGCGUGUUCCAAGAGGAAACCAUAACCUUGCACUGUGAGGUGCUCCAUCUGCCUGGGAGCAGCUCCACACAGUGGUUUCUCAAUGGCACAGCCACUCAGACCUCGACCCCCAGCUACAGAAUCACCUCUGCCAGUGUCAAUGACAGUGGUGAAUACAGGUGCCAGAGAGGUCUCUCAGGGCGAAGUGACCCCAUACAGCUGGAAAUCCACAGAGGCUGGCUACUACUGCAGGUCUCCAGCAGAGUCUUCAUGGAAGGAGAACCUCUGGCCUUGAGGUGUCAUGCGUGGAAGGAUAAGCUGGUGUACAAUGUGCUUUACUAUCGAAAUGGCAAAGCCUUUAAGUUUUUCCACUGGAAUUCUAACCUCACCAUUCUGAAAACCAACAUAAGUCACAAUGGCACCUACCAUUGCUCAGGCAUGGGAAAGCAUCGCUACACAUCAGCAGGAAUAUCACAAUACACUGUGAAAGCAAGACCCUGCGAGGCAGGAACACAUCCUCUGAAUACCAAAUACUAACUGCUAGAAGAGAAGACUCUGGGUUAUACUGGUGCGAGGCUGCCACAGAGGAUGGAAAUGUCCUUAAGCACAGCCCUGAGUUGGAGCUUCAAGUGCUUGGCCUCCAGUUACCAACUCCUGUCUGGUUUCAUGUCCUUUUCUAUCUGGCAGUGGGAAUAAUGUUUUUAGUGAACACUGUUCUCUGGGUGACAAUACGUAAAGAACUGAAAAGAAAGAAAAAGUGGAAUUUAGAAAUCUCUUUGGAUUCUGGUCAUGAGAAGAAGGUAAUUUCCAGCCUUCAAGAAGACAGACAUUUAGAAGAAGAGCUGAAAUGUCAGGAACAAAAAGAAGAACAGCUGCAGGAAGGGGUGCACCGGAAGGAGCCCCAGGGGGCCACGUAGCAGCGGCUCAGUUGGUGGCCAUCGAUCUGGACCGUCCCCUGCCCACUUGCUCCCCGUGAGCACUGCGUACAAACAUCCAAAAGUUCAACAACACCAGAACUGUGUGUCUCAUGGUAUAUAACUCUUAAAGCAAAUAAAUGAACUGACUUCAACUGG
ensembl:lncRNA FCGR1BP Fc gamma receptor Ib, pseudogene